CCUGAUGAAGUCUCGCUCAGCGCUGUCCAAUCAGAUCGUGGAGCUACUACCGCAGCGUGAACAGGGGAGGACGCACCUAUUCCAGUUGCACAAUGCUGAGAAAGGACAGGCGAAAAACUGGACCACCAACGGGAAAUUGGCAAUCCGGGGGAGGCUGUCAAUGGGCUGCCAUGGUUCGACAAUACACAAACAGCGGGGGUUGUGGAUACAGGGGCUGCCAGGGCUCAAAGCGAGCGAGCGAUCCGCGUCGGCGUCCAACCAUGGGAGAGAGCUGUCGGCAAGGUGGCCCAGCUGGCAGUGCCCAGGGCUCCCAGGGGCCCGAGAGCGGCCUGACGUGGAGAGUCAAGGGGGCUGAAGGAUGACAGGGGACAGCUGGAGAAGAGGAAGACUCUAAGGACCAAAGUUGACGGCGAGAGAGCCAUGGAUCAGGAAGAUGAAUACUUGGCCCGGGGAUCAAAGGCAGACUCCAGCCGAUCGCUCUGGCCGCCACAAAGGGGCGUUGGGGGCCGCUGGCAUGGGGCCAGGUGCUGCACAGGGCCACAUAGCGAGGGACAAGCCAUGCAGAUGGGGUCUGCAGACCCUUUGUCCCCUCCACCCCCCCCCCCCCCUCUCAGCCCUCACCCCUGUGUACGAGAGAGAGCAGAUCCGAGAGAGGCGGCCGGCCUGCGCAGCCAGCGGGAAUAGAACCAGCUGAGGUAAACAUCUUUCCCCCCACGGACAGAGCCCUGUUUAAAAGGUCUGAGAAGACCCGACUUGAGUUUAGUCAAACACUUCCCUCCACCCUCAACAGUCCUUGUUAAAAUAUAUAAGUGUUGCAGCCAAAUACAAUGUCGCCAAGGCCAGAACAAAUAAAUCGCAGUGUAAGACACAAAGAGUGGGAUAUUUAAAACAAAUGAACAAGCCCACGUAGUCCAAAUAUAUAUGCAACACCUAGCUUGCUUUUCAACGGACACGUUUGCAGAGUUAUGAGGCCAGUCAACAUGAUGUUACUGAGUCAGAAAAGAAAUGCUGAACUGUUGCAUUGCAGAAAAGGAGGGAUUCACUUCCUUAGAUGUGAUGUGAAAAGGCCGUGAUGAAAACCCUUCUCAAAAAAAACAUCAAAACUUUGAUAAUAACGUUUAAAAGUUGGAUAAGAUGCAAUUUGUAGGCAGGAGCAUACAGCAUACUUCAAUGCAGCCUAAUGUCGGCCUCUGGAUCCAUAGUCCUUCCAAAGUCUGCGACUCCUCACAUCAUCUUGCUUU
ensembl:lncRNA